ensembl:scaRNA LOC120095425 small Cajal body-specific RNA 4
GCUGGAAAAGAAGACGGCUGAGUCUGAUGAAGCAAGACUCUGCCGAUACACUCCUCCUAGACAAAGGGGUGGAGAGAGCAGCCCUUACUGAGAAAGCCGCAGGGCUGACUGCUGCCCAGCAUUU